AGCAGUGGGGAAUAUUGCACAAUGGGGGAAACCCUGAUGCAGCCAUGCCGCGUGUGUGAAGAAGGCCUUCGGGUUGUAAAGCACUUUCAGUAGGGAGGAAGGUAGUGUAGUUAACACCUGCAUUACUUUGACGUUACCUACAGAAGAAGCACCGGCUAACUCCGUGCCAGCAGCCGCGGUAAUACGGAGGGUGCGAGCGUUAAUCGGAAUUACUGGGCGUAAAGCGCAUGCAGGCGGCCUGUUAAGUCAGAUGUGAAAGCCCGGGGCUUAACCUCGGAAUUGCAUUUGAAACUGGCAGGCUAGAGUCUUGUAGAGGGGGUAGAAUUUCAGGUGUAGCGGUGAAAUGCGUAGAGAUCUGAAGGAAUACCAGUGGCGAAGGCGGCCCCCCUGGACAAAGACUGACGCUCAGAUGCGAAAGCGUGGGGAGCAAACAGGAUUAGAUACCCUGGUAG
rnacentral:rRNA from 1 species